CCUACGGGAGGCAGCAGUGAGGAAUAUUGGUCAAUGGGCGCGAGCCUGAACCAGCCAAGUCGCGUGAGGGAGGACGGCCCUACGGGUUGUAAACCUCUUUUGCCGGGGAGCAACGGGCGUCACGUGUGGCGCCCCUGAGAGUACCCGGAGAAAAAGCAUCGGCUAACUCCGUGCCAGCAGCCGCGGUAAUACGGAGGAUGCGAGCGUUCUCCGGAUUUAUUGGGUUUAAGGGGGGCGUAGGCGGAUCGUUAAGUCAGUGGUCAAAUUGAGGGGCUCAACCCCUUCCCGCCAUUGAAACUGGCGCUCUUGAGUGGAAGAGAAGUAUGCGGAAUGCGUGGUGUAGCGGUGAAAUGCAUAGAUAUCACGCAGAACCCCGAUUGCGAAGGCAGCAUGCCGGCUUCCGACUGACGCUGAAGCACGAAAGCGUGGGGAUCGAACAGGAUUAGAUACCCCGGUAGUC
rnacentral:rRNA from 1 species